GUCGAUUUUCUUCUGUUUUGAAUUUUCACCGUUCAAAACGGGAAUGUCCCGAUUCUUGAGUUCUAGUAAAAAGAGAAUGGUAGAAUUUUCUGUGAAAGGGAAAAUCAAUAUAAGCAGCAUCGACCAGGGGCCAUAAAUGCUAGCUAUUUUGAAACAUGUGCUUUCAUAGCAACAAAUCACGUGUGCUUUUGUUAUUUGAUCUUUUUAAUGGAAAAUCGACAUUGUAUUAAUAUUAUUUAUUUAACUUUUAAAGAAUACCGUUCAAACGAAGGUUUCCGGAUGAUUUCAACGAAAAUUUGUGCUUUUCCUGCUUUGACCAACAUUUGUUUCUAUUCUACAGGUGUUUGUUUGUCACGGAAAUAACCACCUGUAUUACAAGAAAUCACGUGCACUUUCCGGCGGAAGUGGGAUUCACAUAGCGCACACAUCGCACUUUUUGACGUCGCUGCUCUUGAUUUUACGCACGAAGAAGUGAAUAUUCAUAUUGUUUGAUUCUCAUGCUAGGCUUGAGACAUUAAGAAUCGCUAACAGAAACAGACCCAAGGCUAGGGAAGAAGUUUAAACUGGCCCAUCACAGGACGGAGACGUGAAUAUUGAAUAUAGAACGUGAACAAGAAUAUAAAUGGUAGAUACGUCAGAAAGGCCAAGCAAGGCCGCGCAUUCGCUACAACCCCUGCAUCCCUACACUGGGCGUCAGAGGCCCUGCUUGUUUUACUCAUUUUACUAAGAGGUACAGCCAUCAACAAUUAGUGGCUGAAUCAGAGUUCUUUGUUGUGCGGAUAAAGUCAUCAACCAUUA